GAUGAACGCUGGCGGCGUGCCUAAUACAUGCGAGUCGAGCGAACAGACGAGGAGCUUGCUCCUCUGACGUUAGCGGCGGACGGGUGAGUAACACGUGGAUAACCUACCUAUAAGACUGGGAUAACUUCGGGAAACCGGAGCUAAUACCGGAUAAUAUAUUGAACCGCAUGGUUCAAUAGUGAAAGACGGUUUUGCUGUCACUUAUAGAUGGAUCCGCGCCGCAUUAGCUAGUUGGUAAGGUAACGGCUUACCAAGGCAACGAUGCGUAGCCGACCUGAGAGGGUGAUCGGCCACACUGGAACUGAGACACGGUCCAGACUCCUACGGGAGGCAGCAGUAGGGAAUCUUCCGCAAUGGGCGAAAGCCUGACGGAGCAACGCCGCGUGAGUGAUGAAGAUCUUCGGAUCGUAAAACUCUGUUAUUAGGGAAGAACAAAUGUGUAAGUAACUAUGCACGUCUUGACGGUACCUAAUCAGAAAGCCACGGCUAACUACGUG
rnacentral:rRNA from 1 species